UACGGGGGGAGCAAGCGUUGUUCGGAUUUACUGGGCGUAAAGGGCGCGUAGGCGGUCAGCACAAGUCAGUUGUGAAAUCUCCGGGCUUAACUCGGAAAGGUCAACUGAUACUGUGCGACUAGAGUGCAGAAGGGGCAACUGGAAUUCUCGGUGUAGCGGUGAAAUGCGUAGAUAAUCGAGAGGAACACCUGCGGCGAAGGCGGCUCACUGGCCCGAUACUGACGCUGAGGCACGAAAGCGUGGGGAGCAAACAGG
rnacentral:rRNA from 1 species